AUGCUUGCUUCAGCAGUACAUAUACUAAAAUUGGAACAAUAUAGACAAGAUUAGCAUGGCCCCUGCAUUUAAAAAUAAAAAUAGGCCAGGUGCAGUGGCUCACACUUGU
rnacentral:snRNA from 1 species